rnacentral:tRNA from 1 species
CUUGUUGUAGUCUAUUUAGGACGGGAGUUUGUCAGAUUUCAGGAAAAACAGGU